ACCCUGGUGGCAUAAUGGUUAAGUGCUUGGCUGCUAACUGAAAGGUUGGCGGUUCAAAUCCACCCAGGGGCC
rnacentral:tRNA from 1 species